rnacentral:lncRNA from 1 species
UGUAAAGCAUUGAUUGAGAGUUUCCCAAACUGUGGGUUCCAUGCUGGGCACUAUACAGGGUGCUGUAGGGGGUAACUCAUAAGAAGGCCUUCUCUUACCUUAAAUCUUAGCCAUAUUAUGUGUAUUGCUAAAAUUAAAAAUGUUGCAUUAAAAGUUUUAAGAAAGAAAUCAGGUUUGUUUUUGUUAAUGAUGCAAUGAUAAGUUUACAGCUGUGAUUAGCACAUAUUUAUAAAAGGUAAAUAUUAUGCACAAUGAGUUAGUGUGCAUAUACAAAUUACGUUCCUCCAAAGUGUUUUUAGCUCUAUAAAGUGAAAUGGUAAACAUAUAGACUUGAGGUUAAUAUAUGGUUCUUCCUGGUCAUAAUUGUUAGUAUGAAUACUAGGUUUUUAGAGGGGGACUCUGAGCCCUAAGAGAAGAGUUUAGAGCUGUCAAAGUUGGUUCUGAUGUAGUAUCUCCCUGAAAUAUCAAGAGCAGAGGUGCCCCAGACUACUACCCAGUCGUAUCAGGAAACUUGAACUGUCCCAGUGCUCCAGCAAGACGAUCUCAGCAUUUGACCCAGAAAGAGAACGUUUCCCUAAAAACAGAUAAUUGAUGAAAUAUAAGUAGCUUCAGUAAAAACUAAGUACAGAAAUCCUAUCACAGUGUUCUGCAUUUUAUUGCUUUAUUAAAGAUAAGUUUGAAGGUCACACUCACUACUCAACUGUAAACUGAAUGGAGGGGAAAAAAGCUCCCCACACAGUAUGCGCCUCUCUUUUCUGAGAGAGAACGGGGCAUAGGAUUUUCAGCAUAAACCCAUGCCAUGUAAGUCCAGCAUCAGUUCCAAAAUUUCUAUCACACUCUGUUUCUGGAAGUGAUCUCUGCCAGACUGCCUUAGAUACCAGUUUUGUUUAUUUUUAAGUUUGCAGGAAUUCUUAACACCCAUUUCCAUUAAAGGUGGUUAGCUGGCAGAGUUUUCCCUUGACUUUUGAG